CCCAGGAGGAUGAUAAAGAUCCAUUUGCCAAAUACCCAGAGCCCAGGGGAAAUGUAAAACUUGGAGAGGCCAUCGGAGAAGGCAAUUUUGGAGUUGUCCAUAUGGGUUGGCAUAAUAUCAAACGCAAAGAAGUGGCCGUUAAAAUAAUAAAGGAAAUAAAGG